UACGUAGGGGGCAAGCGUUGUCCGGAAUCAUUGGGCGUAAAGAGCGCGUAGGCGGUCCGGUAAGUCCGCUCUGAAAGUCCGGGGCUCAACCCCGGGAGGCGGGCGGAUACUGUCGGGCUAGAGUCCGGAAGAGGCGAGUGGAAUUCCUGGUGUAGCGGUGAAAUGCGCAGAUAUCAGGAGGAACACCAAUGGCGAAGGCAGCUCGCUGGGACGGUACUGACGCUGAGGAGCGAAAGCGUGGGGAGCGAACAGG
rnacentral:rRNA from 1 species